UGGGGAAUUUUGGACAAUGGCGCAAGCCUGAUCCAGCCAUUCCGCGUGCAGGAUGAAGGCCCUCGGGUUGUAAACUGCUUUUGUACGGAACGAAACGGUCCUGGUUAAUACCUGGGGCUAAUGACGGUACCGUAAGAAUAAGCACCGGCUAACUACGUGCCAGCAGCCGCGGUAAUACGUAGGGUGCAAGCGUUAAUCGGAAUUACUGGGCGUAAAGCGUGCGCAGGCGGUGAUGAAUAAGACAGAUGUGAAAUACCCGGGCUCAACCUGGGAACUGCAUUUGUGACUGCAUCGCUGGAGUGCGGCAGAGGGGGGAUGGAAUUCCGCGUGUAGCAGUGAAAUGCGUAGAUAUGCGGAGGAACACCGAUGGCGAAGGCAAUCCCCUGGGCCUGCACUGACGCUCAUGCACGAAAGCGUGGGGAGCAAACAGGAUUAGAUACCCUGGUAGUCCACGCCCUAAACGAUGUCAACUGGUUGUUGGGUCUUCACUGACUCAGUAACGAAGCUAACGCGUGAAGUUGACCGCCUGGGGAGUACGGCCGCAA
rnacentral:rRNA from 1 species